rnacentral:misc_RNA from 1 species
GAUGAAGAACGCAGCGAAAUGCGAUACUUGGUGUGAAUUGCAGAAUCCCGUGAACCAUCGAGUCUUUGAACGCAAGUUGCGCCCGAAGCCAUUAGGCCGAGGGCACGCCUGCCUGGGCGUCACACGUCGUUGCCCCCCCAUCUACUCCUUCGGGAUUGCGGGGGGCGGAUGAUGGCCUCUCGUGCGCCUCGUCGCGCGGUUGGCCUAAAUGCCAAGUCCUCGGCGACGCACGCCACGACAAUCGGUGGUUGCGAAACCUCGGUUGCCUGUCGUGUGCGGUCGUCGCGCAUCGAGGGCUCGAAAAAAUUGCCGGGCUUCGGCUCGGCUUUCAACGCGACCCCAGGUCAGGCGGGGUUACCCGCUGAAUUUAAGCAUAUCAAUAAGCGGAGGA